rnacentral:tRNA from 1 species
CGAUAGCUCAACUGGAUAGAGCAGCGGUCUUCUAAACCGCAGGUUGCAGGUUCGAGUCCUGCUCG